rnacentral:rRNA from 1 species
GAUGAACGCUGGCGGCGUGCCUAAUACAUGCAAGUCGAGCGAACAGACGAGGAGCUUGCUCCUCUGACGUUAGCGGCGGACGGGUGAGUAACACGUGGAUAACCUACCUAUAAGACUGGGAUAACUUCGGGAAACCGGAGCUAAUACCGGAUAAUAUAUUGAACCGCAUGGUUCAAUAGUGAAAGACGGUUUUGCUGUCACUUAUAGAUGGAUCCGCGCCGCAUUAGCUAGUUGGUAAGGUAACGGCUUACCAAGGCAACGAUGCGUAGCCGACCUGAGAGGGUGAACGGCCACACUGGAACUGAGACACGGUCCAGACUCCUACGGGAGGCAGCAGUAGGGAAUCUUCCGCAAUGGGCGAAAGCCUGACGGAGCAACGUCGCGUGAGUGAUGAAGGUCUUCGGAUCGUAAAACUCUGUUAUUAGGGAAGAACAAAUGUGUAAGUAACUAUGCACGUCUUGACGGUACCUAAUCAGAAAGCCACGGCUAACUACGUG